AGAGUAGCGCAGACGAUCGCCGGGCAUAAAAUAAGACCUUUGCUCAAUAAAAAUUUUUGUUGAACAAAGGUCUUAAAAUGCCGGGAGGAAAGUCCGAACACCAAAGAGCAGGACGCUCUAUAACGUAGAGUCGCGGCGACGCGAAGGAAAGUGCAACAGAAAAUAUACCGCCGAAAACUUGGCGACAAGUUUUCGGUAAGGGUGAAAUGGCGCGGUAAGAGCGCCCCGUUUUUCGGGCGACCGAAAAAGCUUGGUAAACCCCGUCCGGUGCAAGAUCAAAUAGGGAAGCGUUUUAAGGCUGCUCGCUUAGCUUCCGGGUAGAUCGCUUGAGACGUCUGGCAACAGCCGUCAUAGAUGAAUGAUCGUCAAAUACAAAAUUCGGCUUAUGGGCUGCUCUGUAU
rnacentral:RNase_P_RNA from 1 species